AGAGUUUGAUCAUGGCUCAGAACGAACGCUGGCGGCGUGGAUAAGACAUGCAAGUCGAGCGGAAUACAAGGGGUAGCAAUAUUCUUUGUGUUCAGCGGCGCAAGGGUGCGUAACACGUGGGUAAUUUGCCAUGAAGUCUGGAAUAACUUGCUGAAAGGCGAGCUAAUGCCGGAUGUGACUUCCGAAGGGCAUCUUUUGGAAUUCAAAGUUGGGGACCGUAAGGCCUGACGCUUUGUGAUAAGCCCGCGGUCUAUCAGCUAGUUGGUGAGGUAAUGGCUCACCAAGGCUAAGACGGAUAGCUGGUCUGAGAGGACGACCAGCCACACUGGAACUGAGACACGGUCCAGACACCUACGGGUGGCAGCAGUCGAGAAUUUUUCACAAUGGGCGAAAGCCUGAUGGAGCGACGCCGCGUGGGGGAUGAAUGGCUUCGGCCCGUAAACCCCUGUCAUUUGCGAACAAACCUUUUCAUUUAACACCUGAAAAGCUGAUUGUAGCGAAAGAGGAAGGGACGGCUAACUCUGUGCCAGCCGCCGCGGUAAUAC
rnacentral:rRNA from 1 species